AUUGAACGCUGGCGGCAGGCCUAACACAUGCAAGUCGAGCGAGCGGCGGACGGGUGAGUAAUGUCUGGGAAACUGCCUGAUGGAGGGGGAUAACUACUGGAAACGGUAGCUAAUACCGCAUACCAUCAGAUGUGCCCAGAUGGGAUUAUCUAGUAGGUGGGGUAACGGCUCACCUAGGCGACGAUCCCUAGGUGGUCUGAGAGGAUGACCAGCCACACUGGAACUGAGACACGGUCCAGACUCCGACGGGAGGCAGCAGUGGGGAAUAUUGCACAAUGGGCGAAAGCCUGAUGCAGCCAUGCCGCGUGUGUGAAGAAGGCCUUCGGGUUGUAAAGCACUUUCGGCGGGGAGGCGUUACCCGCAGAAGAAGCACCGGCUAACUCCGUGCCAGCAGCCGCGGUAAUAC
rnacentral:rRNA from 1 species